GAUAGAUAGCUCAAUGGUAGAGCCGCGAACAUAGCUUUCGUUUGUUGCGGGUUCGAGUCCCGCUCUAAUCACCA
rnacentral:tRNA from 2 species